GGAGAAAUGGCUGAGUCUGGCUAAAGGCACUCGACUCGAAAUCGAGAGGGCUCUGAAAAGAGUCCCUUGGGUUCAAAUCCCAAUUUCUCCGCCA
rnacentral:tRNA from 1 species